rnacentral:rRNA from 1 species
GACGAACGCUGGCGGCGUGCUUAACACAUGCAAGUCGAACGGAAAGGCCCCUUUGGGGGUACUCGAGUGGCGAACGGGUGAGUAACACGUGAGUAACCUGCCCUUGACUUCGGGAUAACUUCAGGAAACUGGGGCUAAUACCGGAUAGGAAUCCUUGCUGCAUGGUGGGGGUUGGAAAGCUUCGGCGGUUUUGGAUGGACUCGCGGCUUAUCAGCUUGUUGGUGGGGUAGUGGCUUACCAAGGCUUUGACGGGUAGCCGGCCUGAGAGGGCGACCGGCCACAUUGGGACUGAGAUACGGCCCAGACUCCUACGGGAGGCAGCAGUGGGGAAUACUGCACAAUGGGCGGAAGCCUGAUGCAGCAACGCCGCGGGCGGGAUGACGGCCUUCGGGUUGUAAACCGCUUUCAGCAGGGGCGAAGCUUGUGGUGACGGUACCUGCAGAAGAAGCACCGGCUAACUACGUG